UACGUAGGGGGCAAGCGUUAUCCGGAUUUACUGGGUGUAAAGGGAGCGCAGACGGCGAUGCAAGUCUGAUGUGAAAGGUGUGGGCUUAACCCGCAACGUGCAUUGGAAACUGUAUGGCUGGAGUGCCGGAGAGGUAAGCGGAAUUCCUAGUGUAGCGGUGAAAUGCGUAGAUAUUAGGAGGAACACCAGUGGCGAAGGCGGCUUACUGGACGGUAACUGACGUUGAGGCUCGAAAGCGUGGGGAGCAAAC
rnacentral:rRNA from 1 species